rnacentral:rRNA from 1 species
UACGUAGGUGACAAGCGUUGUCCGGAUUUACUGGGCGUAAAGAGCGCGCAGGCGGUCGUUCAAGUCGAGUGUGAAAGCCCCCGGCUCAACUGGGGAGGGUCAUUCGAUACUGAUCGACUCGAAGGCAGGAGAGGGAAGUGGAAUUCCAGGUGUAGCGGUGAAAUGCGUAGAUAUCUGGAGGAACACCGGUGGCGAAGGCGGCAUCCUGGACCAACACUGACACUGAGGAGCGAAAGCCAGGGGAGCAAACGGG